rnacentral:lncRNA from 1 species
UCUAUUCCAGCCCUCCCUAUCGGCUAGGGUUCAUUUGAGUCAGCUACUGUAUCUAUGGUCCUUUUUUAAAUUUCCCGCUGGAGCCAGCUGGGCCACAAUAGGGUAAUUGAAAGUGUUGGACUCCUUGAGAAGUGAUUUAGCAUUGACUAGUCUAUUGUAUAGAGAAUAUUGGAAA